CACGUAGGGCGCAAGCGUUGUCCGGAAUUAUUGGGCGUAAAGAGCUCGUAGGCGGUCUGUUGCGUCCGCUGUGAAAACCCGGGGCUUAACCCUGGGCUUGCAGUGGAUACGGGCAGACUAGAGGUAGGUAGGGGAGAAUGGAAUUCCUGGUGUAGCGGUGAAAUGCGCAGAUAUCAGGAGGAACACCGGUGGCGAAGGCGGUUCUCUGGGCCUUACCUGACGCUGAGGAGCGAAAGCGUGGGGAGCGAACAGG
rnacentral:rRNA from 1 species